rnacentral:rRNA from 1 species
GAUGAACGCUAGCGGUGCGCCUAACACAUGCAAGUCGAGCGCCCUCACUUUGCGAAUAAUCAUUUGAUUGUUCUCAGUGUGAGGGAGCGGCGAACGGGUGAGUAACACGUUGGAACCUACCCCAGACUCAGGGAUAGCCUACCGAAAGGUGGAUUAAUACCGGAUAGUCUCGUAAGAGUAAAGCUUUUGCGGUUUGGGAGGGGCCUGCGGCCUAUCAGCUUGUUGGUAGUGUAAUAGACUACCAAGGCUAUGACGGGUAUCGGGUGUGAGAGCAUGACCCGACACAAUGGAACUGAGACACGGUCCAUACUCCUACGGGAGGCAGCAGUGAGGAAUCUUCCGCAAUGGGCGAAAGCCUGACGGAGCGACACCGCGUGGAGGACGAAGGCCUUUUGGUUGUAAACUCCUUUUCUGGGGGAAUAAAUGAUGAAGGUACCCCAGGAAUAAGCACCGGCUAACUACGUGCCAGCAGCCGCGGUAAUACGUAGGGUGCAAGCGUUAUCCGGAAUUAUUGGGCGUAAAGCGUUCGUAGGUGGUUUGGAAAGUUUGUAGUUAAAUCUGGUCGCUCAACGAUCAACACGCUACAAAAACUUCCAUGAC